ACAGGGAUUGCCCUAGUAACGGCGAGUGAAGCGGCAACAGCUCAAAUUUGAAAUCUGGCGUCUUUGGCGUCCGAGUUGUAAUUUGCAGAGGGCGCUUUGGCAUUGGCAGCGGUCCAAGUUCCUUGGAACAGGACGUCACAGAGGGUGAGAAUCCCGUACGUGGUCGCUAGCCUUUACCGUGUAAAGCCCCUUCGACGAGUCGAGUUGUUUGGGAAUGCAGCUCUAAAUGGGAGGUAAAUUUCUUCUAAAGCUAAAUACUGGCCAGAGACCGAUAGCGCACAAGUAGAGUGAUCGAAAGAUGAAAAGCACUUUGGAAAGAGAGUUAAAAAGCACGUGAAAUUGUUGAAAGGGAAGCGCUUGCAGCCAGACUUGCCUGUAGUUGCUCAUCCGGGUUUUUACCCGGUGCACUCUUCUAUAGGCAGGCCAGCAUCAGUUUGGGCGGUUGGAUAAAGGUCUCUGUCAUGUACCUCCUCUCGGGGAGAACUUAUAGGGGAGACGACAUGCAACCAGCCUGGACUGAGGUCCGCGCAUCUGCUAGGAUGCUGGCGUAAUGGCUGUAAGCGGCCCGUCUUGAAACACGGACCAAGGAGUCUAACAUCUAUGCGAGUGUUUGGGUGUCAAGCCCGAACGCGUAAUGAAAGUGAACGGAGGUGGGAACCUUUCGGGGUGCACCAUCGACCGAUCCUGAUGUCUUCGGAUGGAUUUGAGUAAGAGCAUAGCUGUUGGGACCCGAAAGAUGGUGAACUAUGCUUGAAUAGGGUGAAGCCAGAGGAAACUCUGGUGGAGGCUCGCAGCGGUUCUGACGUGCAAAUCGAUCGUCAAAUUUGGGCAUAGGGGCGAAAGACUAAUCGAACUAUCUAGUAGCUGGUUCCUGCCGAAGUUUCCCUCAGGAUAGCAGUAACGUUUUCAGUUUUAUGAGGUAAAGCGAAUGAUUAGAGGCCUGGGGGUUGAAACAACCUU
rnacentral:rRNA from 2 species